CCGUCCACCGAACGGCCGGCAGGCGAUCCGCGUCGGUCGCGCGAGGUGGUGUUAUGUAUGGUUACCCAGAGGCCGGUUCUUGUGCUGCCUACCCCUUCAGGGGAAGCACGGGCCACUUGAUGUAAGCCUCCAUCCGGCGCCCUCCAACGGGCGUCGGAGGACAGCGGAGCACCCCCCGCGUUCCACCGAGCCCUCGUCGGUCGCGUGGCCCGCGGGGACGUGCGAUGCUCUCGGACCCAGCGCACGCCGCGGGGCGAGGACUCACGUCCCAGCCCCAAGAGAAGCUCCGACCCAACGAUGACGGCCCGUUCCGGCCCCCGUCCGCCCCGGCGGCGCGGGGGCGCGGCGCGGCGUCUGUGAGGAAUGCUACCU
rnacentral:misc_RNA from 1 species